CCGAGUCGUUCGCAUAUGGGCGUAAGGGCUCGCAGGCGGUUUCUUAGUCUGAUGUGAAAGCCCCCGGCUCAACCGGGGAGGGUCAUUGGAAACUGGGGAACUUGAGUGCAGAAGAGGAGAGUGGAAUUCCACGUGUAGCGGUGAAAUGCGUAGAGAUGUGGAGGAACACCAGUGGCGAAGGCGACUCUCUGGUCUGUAACUGACGCUGAGGAGCGAAAGCGUGGGGAGCGAACAGGAUUAGAUACCCUGGUAGUCCACGCCGUAAACGAUGAGUGCUAAGUGUUAGGGGGUUUCCGCCCCUUAGUGCUGCAGCUAACGCAUUAAGCACUCCGCCUGGGGAGUACGGUCGCAAGACUGAAACUCAAAGGAAUUGACGGGGGCCCGCACAAGCGGUGGAGCAUGUGGUUUAAUUCGAAGCAACGCGAAGAACCUUACCAGGUCUUGACAUCCUCUGACAACCCUAGAGAUAGGGCUUUCCCUUCGGGGACAGAGAGACAGGUGGUGCAUGGUUGUCGUCACCUCGUGUCGUGAGAUGUUGGGUUAAGUCCCGCAACGAGCGCAACCCUUGAUCUUAGUUGCCAGCAUUCAGUUGGGCACUCUAAGGUGACUGCCGGUGACAAACCCCAGAAAAGUGGGGAUGACAUCAAAUCAUCAUGCCCCUUAUGACCUGGGCUACACACGUGCUACAAUGGACAGAACACAGGGCUGCGAGACCGCAAGGUUUAGCCAAUCCCACAAAUCUGUUCUCAGUUCGGAUAGCAGUCUGCAACUCUACUGCGUGAAACUGGAAUCUCUAUUAAUCUCGGAUCACCAUGCCGCGGGGGAAUACGUUCCCGGGCCUUGUAUACACCGCCCGUGACACCACGAGAGUUUGAGGACGAACGCUGGCGGCGUGCCUAAUACAUGCAAGUCGAGCGGACAGAAGGGAGCUUGCUCCCGGAUGUUAGCGGCGGACGGGUGAGUAACACGUGGGUAACCUGCCUGUAAGACUGGGAUAACUCCGGGAAACCGGAGCUAAUACCGGAUAGUUCCUUGAACCGCAUGGUUCAAGGAUGAAAGACGGUUUCGGCUGUCACUUACAGAUGGACCCGCGGCGCAUUAGCUAGUUGGUGAGGUAACGGCUCACCAAGGCGACGAUGCGUAGCCGACCUGAGAGGGUGAUCGGCCACACUGGGACUGAGACACGGCCCAGACUCCUACGGGAGGCAGCAGUAGGGAAUCUUCCGCAAUGGACGAAAGUCUGACGGAGCAACGCCGCGUGAGUGAUGAAGGUUUUCGGAUCGUAAAGCUCUGUUGUUAGGGAAGAACAAGUGCAAGAGUAACUGCUUGCACCUUGACGGUACCUAACCAGAAAGCCACGGCUAACUACGUGCCAGCAGCCGCGGUAAUACGUAGGUGGCAAGCGUUGUCCGGAAUUAUUGGGCGUAAAGGGCUCGCAGGCGGUUUCUUAAGUCUGAUGUGAAAGCCCCCGGCUCAACCGGGGAGGGUCAUUGGAAACUGGGAAACUUGAGUGCAGAAGAGGAGAGUGGAAUUCCACGUGUAGCGGUGAAAUGCGUAGAGAUGUGGAGGAACACCAG
rnacentral:rRNA from 1 species